CUCGAGUAGGGCCCAAGCCAGCCAGGAAGGAGGAGGCAGCCAGAGUGUUCUCUGCAGCAGAAGACCCCCUGCUGCCCUGCUUAACCCAGACCAGCAUUUGCCAGAAUAAAUCACUUCCUGAGGAGCAACAGCUAUUAAGAUGCAAGCACUUUGGCAGUAGGAAAGAAACUGAGGGAAAUGGCACUGAACCGCCAAUAUCAACGGACGCACGGCACAUGCAGCGGGCGGUUCUCGGGACCACGAGGAGCUAACUCCACCCAGAUGGUCCUGCGCAGGAUCCAAGUGGGAUUUCGCCCAAUUCACAUGAAUCUUCAAGUUAUUGAGGCAACAAAAUACAUACCCAAGUUUGAGAAAGUAACUCAACUUUGUUCAGAGCUGCAAUGGGUCACUCGUUGAGGGACAGAAAAAUUGCCAUGCCCCUUGCUCUCAGAUGAGCAAUGAUGGCACUCAUGCAUUUCGUAACCACCCUUGGAAGGCUGAUAAUCUGAAGGGGAGCAACUUGUAUUGGAACACUGCAGUUCCCAUGGUGAAUCUGAGGUUUAACGAGUGAAGCCAAGCACGUCGACAGAUAAAGACAGAAGUUGACAUAGCUCUGGACUCAGUUUCUGACAAAUGUCUGGCAGUGCUCAGCUGUUGGCAUGUAAUGCUGGUUGAUUUAAUAAAUGUACUU